rfam:Triticum aestivum genome assembly, contig: Triticum_aestivum_CS42_TGACv1_scaffold_602849_7DL
CUAGUACUCCCUCCAUUCCAAAUUACUUGACCCAUAUUUAUAUACAUACGGAUGUAUCUAGACACUAAACAAGUAUAGAUACAACCGUGUUUAGACAAAUUCAAGUCAACUAAUUUAAAAUGGAGGGAGUAUUAG